UGAGGGGGGCUGCUCCUAGUACGAGAGGACCGGAGUGGACGCAUCACUGGUGUUCGGGUUGUCAUGCCAAUGGCACUGCCCGGUAGCUAAAUGCGGAAGAGAUAAGUGCUGAAAGCAUCUAAGCACGAAACUUGCCCCGAGAUGAGUUCUCCCUGACCCUUUAAGGGUCCUGAAGGAACGUUGAAGACGACGACGUUGAUAGGCCGGGUGUGUAAGCGCAGCGAUGCGUUGAGCUAACCGGUACUAAUGAACCGUGAGGCUUAACCUUACAACGCCGAAG
rnacentral:rRNA from 1 species